UGGCGCCCCUGUAAACCUCUGACAAGACAAAUAUUAUCCUCUGUUCUGCAACAUUUUAUCUCUACGUGAAUGGGAAAGUGUUGCACCCUUAAAGGUCAGAGCCUUGAGGAUGGGCUCUCCUGUACAUUUCAGGCUCUAGGCAACAUUCUUUUACAAAAGUGCAGAACCAGCAGGACUCAGCAUGGGAAACAGAGCCCAGGGUUAGAGGCAAUGGGAGCAGAUCUAACGUGGAGUCAGGUUUGUUCUUCUCUGUUACAUGUCUAUGCUGUCUGGUUGCCACAGGUCAUGCUCUCCAGAAGUUGGGGGGUUAAGAUGGUUAUUUGGGGGUCUACACCUGUGAACAGAAAGAGGCUGAUGCAGGAUUGGGUGGAGAAAGAAGCAGAACUGUGAUGAGGGCUCAACAAAGCCUUGGCUCACCGUGUAAAAAAUUGUCCUGCCUUUAUCCCCCCACCUCACUUAGUCUCCUGAUGGCGCUGCCUGGAAGGGGCUUGACCUCAGACAGACAGGCAGCUCUCU